UUUUUUUUUUUUUCCAGAGCUAUCUGAAAUACUGCCUCCCGAGCUAUAGUUCUCAAAUAAAACUCAACUCUCAAUGUUUUGGUUGUGCAUAUUUUCAGAUCGACCAUGUCAAUAAAAAGGUGAUCGUGUAAAUGAUGGGUUAUGUAUAAGGGAAGGAAUACACACAAAGAGUGAGCAAAUGCCGGCAAGCCUGUUUUUCACAGUCAGGGAGGAGGAGGACCAGUCAUCUUUUAUUUAUAUGCUCCUGUUAGACAUUUUUAAAAUGAAACAGGGGUGGGGGGUGUAAAAAGAGCACAGAUGUGAUUCCCUGACUCUCAGGUGACCACCUCAUUAAAAGUGUCAGUGUUGAGAGUUCCCGUGGUGGCUCCACAGAAACGAAUCUGACUAACAUCAAUGGGGACGCAGGUUCAAUCCUUGGCCUCACUCAGUGGGUGAAGGAUCUGGUGUUGCCAUGAGCUCUGGCGUAGGUCACAGACACGGCUCGGAUCCUGCAUUGCUGUGGCUGUGGUGUAGGCCAGUAGCUACAGCUCUGAUUUGACCCUUAGCCUGGGAACCUCCGUAUGCUGUGGGUGCGAGCCUAAAAAAAAAAAAGCAAACAAAGAAAAGAGUCAUUGUUAACAUUUUCCCAACUUUCUAAUUAUGUUUACCAGCUUGCCUCUUUCCCAAAGUCCAGAUAAUAUAAGCAUAUUCAACAUUCUUUGUUGUUGGCUAAUGCUAGAAAUGUGAUUUUUUUUUUAAGGUUCAGUGUAACAGAAAAUGAUCGAUUUUCCCUCACCAACACUUCCUAUAGCCUGUGGAGACCACGUGGAUGAUGAUAUGGGAAUUUUGAUAAAACCAUGCUCUUUCUUUCCUCCCUUCCUGUAACCCUCCAUCAGUGAGCUGCUUAUGAACUUUGCUAGCGUAUUUCUCUCCCUGAACCCUGCACAUGGGGAUGAGUCCUGGCCAUAAUAAUAUUAAUAUUGUUGUGGGUUCGAUCCCUGGCCUUCCUCAGUGGGUUAAGGAUCCAGGAUUGCCGUGAGCUGUGGUGUAGGUCACAGAGGCGGCUCAGAUCCAGCGUUGCUGUGCCUUUGGUGUAGGCUGGCAGCUACAGCUCCAACUGGACCCUCAGCCUGGGAAACUCCAUAUGCCACGGAUGUGGCCCUAAACAGCAAAUAAUAAUGAUAAUAAUAAUAAUAAUAUUGUAAUUCAAGUUUCCUCCAGGCUUACUCAACUGCACAAAUAACAAGAACAACCCCAGUUCAAGUUUCCCUGGUUCUUUCCGUAGCCUGGGGACAGUGGACCUUCAACCCUCUGAAAUAUAUCUUUCAAAUAUUUCUGGAGGUCCCUGGAAGGUAACUUCCACAAGCUGAUGAGUAAGAUCCCUGCACCCAGCUGGUCUAAGGGCUCUGUGGGCCAUUUAAUGGCCAUCUCCAUCUCCUGCUUGGAAUUUCCAUCUAUUUUGCAGCUGAGGCCCUAGAAAUCAGAGGUGGUCAAGUUGCUUGGCAUCUUCUUUUAGGUGGGAGGUGUGCUUCCUUCCCAUCCCCCAGGCCCAGCCAACCACAGUGACGGUAUCCAGCUGUGUGGCUUCUGCCCCAGUAUAUUACAGAAUUAUUAGUGAUUCAGAAUUUCACUUUCCCAUUGUAGUUCCCCUCCUGUUCAAAGGACUCAGGCUUUCAUUCUUGAUUAUGUGUUGACUGCCUGCUCUGUGAAGACACAUACAAUUUUUACAACAAUGGGUGAAAGAGCCAAGGACCCUGCCAGGCUGGAAUUUUCAGUCUCUUCAUAGAGAAGGACAAUGAACAAGGAAAUAAAAGCAGCUAAGUAUGUAACUACAAAUGGAGAGAUGCAGCAAAGGAAACAAAGAGGCAGGAGAGAAAAUAACUUUAGACAGGACGGUGAGAAAAGUCCUCUGAAGCAGUGAUGGCUUCUCUAACAACCAAGACAUUGAAAUGCCAGAUUUGAGAAAAGGGAGGGAAGGAGAUGGAGAAGAGAAGAGAAAUAGGAACAGAAGGAGGAGGAGCUAACUUUUUUUUUUUUUAAUUGAAGUAUAGUUGAUUUACAAUGUUGUGUUAGUUUCAAGUGUAUAGUAAAGUGAUUAGGUUAUACAUACAUAUUUUUUUCAGACUUUUUUCCCUUAUACAAAAUCUUGAUUAGAGUUCCCUGUCAUAUACAGUAGGUCUUUGUUGGUCAUCUCUUUUAUAUAUCGUGGUAUGUAUAUGUUAAUCCCAAACUCCUCAUUGAUCCCUUCCCUCCUUUGCCCUUUGAGAAACAGUUUUAGUUAUUAUGAACUAGGAAUAGUCUUAGAAAUUUACAUAUAUAAAUAUCCUUUCAUCCUAACCCAAACCUAUGAGGUAGGACAAGUGUUGGCCCCAUCCCCCAGGUGAGUCAGAUGAAGCAAGGGAAAGGGUAAGUAAGGGGAAAGGCAGAACUUGAACCCAGGCUGUCUAAGACCCUAAGGAAGGAAAGACUUUGAAUUAUUGCAGUAACAUACAGGCCAGUGUGGCUGAAGCAGAAUGCAAAAAGGGGAAAUCAGCAGGCGAUGGAGCUGGCAAGGCAGGCAGCGACUAGACCAUGCAUGGGUACGUGGUCAUAUUCAUUCUGGGAGUAAUUCAUGGUCUAUUACAACUACUCCAAAGGAAUAGUGCUGUACUGAAGAGCCAGCUGUAGUCAUAAAAAUAAUUAUCACUUAUAUUCUUUUUGUAAGCUGAGGUAUUAGAAAAUGAGAGUGCUCCCCUUAUGUUGUGAAUAAGACAGGAGACUUAAGAUCCCAGAGAAUGAAUUAUACUCACUGGCACAUAUGUUGACUUGACAUAUCGUGUAGGAAAUUGCACCAUCUCCCAGCGCUUACCUGUAGCAACACAUUCCCUGUGUUACAGAAUUACGGGUGGCCAAAUUAAACAGCAUGCUCCUUGGGGUUGAAUCCUGAGUUACCAAACAUAGAGAUGAGGAAGGGCCAGAAGAAGAGCCAGUUAUCAGAGUGACCUGGUCCUCUUCAGGCAGUGAUGAGCUCUGCCUUGGUGGGGUCAGCUUUGAGUGACACCCUUGCUCCGGCCACAGGCUACAACCUGGAGCCUCUCCCUUUGCUUCUUAACUUGGGCAGUAAGUCCUGGAGAUGAAGAUGUACCAGUGUCUGGUAUGCCCAGUGCAGAAUUAGAAUUAAAGGGGUGGAGUUCCCACUGUAGCUCAAGGGUAACGAACCCGACUAGAAUCCAUAAGGAUUCGGGUUCAAUCCCUGGUCUUGCUCAGUGGGUUAAGGAUCCGGCGUUGCCGUGAGCUGUGGUGUAGGUCGCAGAUGAGGCUUGGAUCUGGUGUUGCUGUGGCUGUGGUGUAGGCCAACAGCUGCAGCUCUGAUUUGACCCCUAGCCUGGGACCUUCCAUAUGCUGCGGGUGCAGAAAAAAAAAAAAAAAGAAUGAAAGGGAUGAAGUGACUACUUUUUUUAAAAACCCCUGUAAGUUAUAGCAAUGGAAAGGGUGACAAAGCAAGAGUUUUUUCAUCCUUAAGUUCAGUUUUAUGUCUGCUUGCUCUCCUGAAUCCUUUCCAAGGAUUCCUCCACCUCUUAGGGAAACACAAAUUUGCCAAAAAAUAAAAAUGAGAAGAUGAACUCAAUCUAAUCACAUAAACUUGAGUCUAACCUCAGCUCUAGUCAAAGUAGGAAGAACAGAGAGGGGAUUUCCCAAAUUGUGUUUGCUUGUAAUGAUAAAACCUCAUUGGUUAGUGUGCUCUUCCUUUUUGUUGAGGACAUCCAUCCGCCACUUCCUCCUCUCCAGCAGCCCCUCAUUUUCUGUCUGGGGACCCCUGUGAUUCCUGAAAGACUAAUUCCAUCCUGGUGGAAAGGAGGGAACACGUGCGCUGAGCAAUGCCAGCAGCACAUCUAUCCCCCAGUCAUGGUGACUGUGUCUAAGCUCCUUCAUUCACAGGAUGCUCAGGACUUUUUCUAGGAAUGCAAGAUGAAGCCUCCUGAUGUCUUUGAAUUAGAAACCCUGAGGCUAGAGACGUCUGGGGACUGCAGAGCCGCCUGACCUUCGAAUAGGGUCAACUCUAAGAAAAACGAGGUAGGUAUACACACAGUGAAGAGCAAGGUCCCAAUGACAUUACUGAGAAAAGGACCCCUCCCCCCAUCAGAAACCUGGACUCUUCAGGGAUGUGAGUUGAUUAAAUUGAGUUCAGCAAGUAUUUACUGAGCGACAACUUACAUGCCAGGUAUGAUAUCAAGCACUUAGAAUACAUGAAUGCAUGAACCAGACAAGGCUUACUGUCAGUAUUCAGGAGACAAACAAUAGACAAUACACAUAACAGGUAAACUGAUAGUAUGUUAGAGGGUGAUUAAUGCUGUGGGAAAAAGAAAAGAACAAGGUAAGGGAGUGGGAGAGUGGAGGAGGGAAGCUUGGGGUGCAGGCUCCAUGGUUGAAGCUGGAAUGAGGCUGAUCUCUCACUACUUGCUGUCUAUUACCUGUAAAUAAAUACCUUAGGACACUUAAAAUACUUGCAACCCACCUCCAACCCAUAUACACACCCAGAAGCAGAAAUUAUAAUAGACAAAAAGAAAGAGAAGGAAUAUUAAUUAGAUUUGUCUAAGAUUCAGGAAGGGGAAAAAAAUUGUAUUUGAAUUCAGGAUAGAGAUUGAACUAAUUGAUUUCAAAACACAGAUCCACAUUUCUGGGCAGGAUGUGGGGAGGCUUGUGUGAAAUGCCUCCAUUUCAAUCCUGUGGCACUUUGGCAUAAAUUACCAUACUUUCCUGAACCAGCAAGAUUCUUUCACUCCCACUGUUUCUGCUUCUUGAAAUAUAAAAAGAAUCACUUGUCUCUGUUUCCAGUUUUGAUAUAUGGAAAAUGCAGCCGAUGAAUGCUGACAAUGCUUCAUAACUUGAGAUGUCAGAUUCUGUGAUUCAUUUUCCCAGGCACCAACUUGCCAGAAUGAUGGUAAAGCCGACCUUUAUUCUAAAACUACAUUGAAAGCCAGCAAUCAAGAAAGCCAGGAGGAAAGAGUGAAUGAGAAAGAGAGAAAGAGAGAACAAAUUAACUUCAUGUAGAUAUGUCUGCUCCCACCCACCUUUCUGAGUACGUGGCUAGUGGCUUCCUGUAAAGGAAACAUUUUGUCGGCUCUUGUCUUAGUUAGUUAAAACUGGCAUUCCCCCCUUGUACAACUGUGCGGUGUUGUGUAAAAGAAACCAUCACCAUAGAGACUCUGGUCUCUUGAACACUAGAUAUGGUGGCGCGCACUCGGUCUCGCCACGGCAUCUGUUCAUAGGCUGUGUGUUUUUAGAUCCAGUGCCAGACGAACUAAAGCUAUGCUCUGAUAAUGCCAAAAAGACAUUUAUAAACAUGACUAAAUGGGCCUAGUGGGUUUUUAUGCAAAUGCAUUGUGCCUUUAUACCAGUUUCAGAUCUCCACUCCGACUUUCCCUGGAUGCUUUGCCGUUUAGCCUCCAUGAAGCUGACCUGCAGCGCCAGGGAGGAGUGGGGAGGACAAAUACAGGAGAUGAUGGCCUCCCUCUCAAAGUCUCUCCCUAAAAACUAAGUGAUGGAAAAGCACCUGACCCCCUCCAGGAAGACACACUGAAGUUGGAAUAAUUUUGUUUUUACACUUGUGAAAAGAGGCGCCUUAAAUCAUUGGGAAAGGAAAUUUUAUUUGACAAAUCAUAUUGAGACAAUGGGUCAGGGCUUUUGCGAAACAGAAGAUGCUCCCCAUUUACAUUAAAUCCCAGUGGUUGACACCCAAUGACACAUGCACACAAAUGCAUACACAGGGGUAUACACACACACAAACACAAACACACACAGGCAAAGAAAUCUAACUGUACAUGCCAAGAAAAAAAAAUAAUUGAAUAUUUGAUCACUAGUCGUGAAGGGCACUCUGUCAUGUCAGAAAUCCCAAGGAAAAGGAAGACAGACCUGAUGACUUGAAAAUAUUAAGUUAAGAAAAUUGUAAGAUAAAAAAAAAUAAUAAAGAACAUAUAAUGAAAAUAGAAACAUCCAAAUAGAGGGGAAAACCAUCAGUGACUAUCAGGAUUACAAUCUAGCAUCUUUACAACAUACAGAGCUUCUAAAAAGUGAUUACAAAAACAUGAAAAUUCCAGAAUAAAAGUGGGCAAAGGACACCAGACAACUCAGAGCAAAUAUAAAUGAACUAAAAAAAUAGAUGAAAAAAUGUCCAUCUCCCUACUUAACAAAGGCAAAAUUCAAAGAGGAGAAGGGAACCUUUCUUACUACCAAGUUAGCAAAAAAUAAUGCCUUUUCCUAAUAGUGCUGAUAAGAGGACAAUGAAACAGGAAAUCUCAUUCACUGCUAGUAGGAGUAUAAAAUUUUCUGGAAAGCAAUCUGUAUUUUCUCAAGAGGCCUCAAAGAUGUUUAUAUCCUUUGACCUAGUAAUCCUACUUCCAAGAACUUAUCGUCAGAAAGUAAUUUAAAAAUUCCAAUAGUCAUUGUUUAUAAAAACCAGGAGCACCCACACAUGUCCACUGCAUAGUUCAGUAUCUUCUUGAGCACCAAAGAUGUGUCCAACUCUGAGCUGGAAUGGAGUCCAAACACAAAACACAUGGUCCUCAUCCUGGCAGAACUGACAACCUGGAAGGAGAUAAGCAGUUAAUUGAGUAAUUAUGACAUUUGCUACAGAACCUCAGAGCCGAGGGAACCUAACCAGAGGAAGUGGCAUUUAAACUAAAAUGUGUGAAGUUAACCAGAAGAUGGGGAUGACAGAGGGAAGAGUGUUUUAGAACAGAAAAUGGCAUCUGCAAAGACCUGGAGGGAAAAAAGCCAGUGACCCUGCCGCUCUGGAGGAGCAGGCGAAGAGGGGUGGGCAGACUGUAAAUCACGUUUAGGAGUUUGUUUGCUCGUUUGUUUUUGGUCAUGCCCAUGGCAUGUGGAAGUUCCCUGACCAGGGGUCAAACCCGCCCCACAACAGUGACCCAAGCCACAGCAGUGACAACGCCAGAUCCUUAAACCCAUUGAUCCACCAGAGAACUCCAUUUAGAAGUUUAGAUUUUAUCCUGAGGGCAGUGGUUUGGUAAAUGAUCCCACAUCCAUUACAUGGAAAUAUAACUUAUUAGGAAAAUAGUUUCUCUGUCCUUCCAUUGUCUGAGGAGACUCAUAAGGAAAAAAAAAAAAAAAAAA
ensembl:lncRNA